UACGGAGGGAGCUAGCGUUGUUCGGAAUUACUGGGCGUAAAGCGCACGUAGGCGGCUUUGUAAGUUAGAGGUGAAAGCCCGGAGCUCAACUCCGGAAUUGCCUUUAAGACUGCAUCGCUUGAAUCCGGGAGAGGUGAGUGGAAUUCCGAGUGUAGAGGUGAAAUUCGUAGAUAUUCGGAAGAACACCAGUGGCGAAGGCGGCUCACUGGACCGGUAUUGACGCUGAGGCGCGAAAGCUAGGGGAGCGAACAGG
rnacentral:rRNA from 1 species